UGGGGAAUCUUGGACAAUGGGGGCAACCCUGAUCCAGCCAUGCCGCGUGAGUGAUGAAGGCCUUAGGGUCGUAAAGCUCUUUCGCCUGUGAAGAUAAUGACGGUAGCAGGUAAAGAAACCCCGGCUAACUCCGUGCCAGCAGCCGCGGUAAUACGGAGGGGGUUAGCGUUGUUCGGAAUUACUGGGCGUAAAGCGCACGUAGGCGGACUGGAAAGUUGGGGGUGAAAUCCCAGGGCUCAACCCUGGAACUGCCUCCAAAACUAUCAGUCUAGAGUUCGAGAGAGGUGAGUGGAAUUCCGAGUGUAGAGGUGAAAUUCGUAGAUAUUCGGAGGAACACCAGUGGCGAAGGCGGCUCACUGGCUCGAUACUGACGCUGAGGUGCGAAAGUGUGGGGAGCAAACAGG
rnacentral:rRNA from 1 species